AGAGCGAACGCUGGCGGCAGGCCUAAUACAUGCAAGUCGAACGGAUCCUUCGGGAUUAGUGGCGGACGGGUGAGUAACACGUGGGAACGUGCCCUUUGGUUCAGAACAACUCAGGGAAACUUGAGCUAAUACUGGAUAAGCCCUUCGGGGGAAAGAUUUAUCGCCAUUGGAGCGGCCCGCGUCUGAUUAGCUAGUUGGUAGGGUAAAGGCCUACCAAGGCUUCGAUCAGUAGCUGGUCUGAGAGGAUGAUCAGCCACACUGGGACUGAGACACGGCCCAGACUCCUACGGGAGGCAGCAGUAGGGAAUCUUGCGCAAUGGGCGAAAGCCUGACGCAGCCAUGCCGCGUGAAUGAUGAAGGUCUUAGGAUUGUAAAAUUCUUUCAGCGGGACGAUAAUGACGGUACCCGCAGAAGAAGCCCCGGCUAACUUCGUGCCAGCAGCCGC
rnacentral:rRNA from 1 species